ensembl:lncRNA
CCUGAUGAAGCUUUUCCCUGUAAACCUGGAAUCUUUAGAUACAGUUCCAAAAGGAGUUCCCUGUUCAGCCUCGAAGGCUGCUACACCAAAGCCUGAAUGAUCUCAAAUGACGGAAACAGAAUGAAUUCCAGAAGAGAUUAAGGCUGCAGAAACACAAGGAGUAGUGAUAUCUGAAGUGCUGGACUGGCUUGAGAUAGCAAGGCUGAUGCUUUGAGAUGCAUGUAUUUCAGAAAAUGAGGUUUUUCAAAUGAUGGCCUGUUGUAACUGAAAGCCAGGAUUUUCACUAUGGAUGUUUCUGAGAAACUGAAAAGAAGAGGAAAGGAAAAAAAUCCUCUGAAAUGCUUUAUGAAGGGUCAAAGAAGAGUGUCUAAAAGAAAAGCAACCAGUAAAGAGUGCUUUAAGUGCUUCUGAAAGCCACCCAGUCCUGGGGAUGAGGAUGAUCCAAGUGGGCUACAAUGAUUCAGAUACAUGCCUUCCCACUUCAGCUGGUCUCAGGCCUGGGAACACCCCUGGACACAGCUUCACAGGAGAGUGUCCCACUGAUAAAAAUGCACGGUGAAUUCUCAGAGCUGGAGCUGAAGAAGCCCAGUCUGCAAUGCAUGCUUUGACCUCACUUCAAUAAGGAUUAGCAGAGAUUUUUUUGGAAUUGUUCUCUCAAGCCAUUAAAAUCCACAAAUCUUCCUAAGUAUAGCAAAAUUAGCCCCAAAAUAGCUUCUGGCAAUAAUCACAGAUGAGGUGAGGUUUUCUUUUUUGUGUUUGAGUGGAGGGGGGUGUAUUUUAAUCUAUGCCGCUCACAUGCAAGUACGUGACAAGGCACAUGUAAGUUAUGUUACUCCAUAUGUUCUUCAGCUGAAUAUAACCUUGUGUAUGCAUACAUGUGUGCUUACGUGAUGAGCAAAGAAGGGGAUUUCAGAUCUAUGCACUGGGCAAAAUAUGUUUCGCUCAUGUUUCUUUCCAGCGUUUUGGAUGACAGCAAUGCCAGCCUUAGGUGGAGCCAACCAAUGUUAGACAGCUUGUUCACCACCACGUGGUUUGUGUCCUAUAAAGUCCUCUGCAAGAACACCCUCCCGAAAGCUGGGGGAUCAGAACUACUUUGUAAGAAAAAAAGUUGGCUGCUCCAUAAGGUUCAAACAGAGGAAUAUAAUAAAGCAAAGGAUAACGUAAAGAAAAUGCUGACUUGGCAAUAAUGUGGCUGUUAGCGCUCCAUCUCCACGACGUGGACCCUUCUGCUUUGGCACAGGGAAUUACAGCCUGAUUCUGAACUCCAUGUCAAGCAAUUCUCCUCUCUGUGACAGAGCAUUUUCAAUGCAUUGAGCACAUUCAGCAA